CCAGAGUCCAGAAGGAGGGCUUGAAUCACAGCAAGUACAUGUGACUCGGUGACAGCUGCUGAGGCAGAGCCAGCCCGUGCCUUGGAACUCCAGUUUCCAAAUGACAAGAGGAAGAAGCUCUGCUGUUAUACAGAUCUACAGAGUGACAUUCUCAGAAGUCAUUGACUGUUUCAUGGCAGGACCAGAAAUGCUAAAAAUAGACCAAGAUUUAGUCAAAGAUUUGGGCAAGCAUCGGCUGGAAAGGAUCAACUACCUCCACCCAAAUGAUAAACAGGUACGCUGACCCUGCAAAAGGCUGGACCCCAAAUCAGAAGACAUAAGGAACCGAGGAAUUCCCUUACCCUACAGAAGCCUGGGCCCAUUAGAGAGGAAACAUGGGCCUGGGCCAAUCAAAUGAAGGAUGCCAGGGACAAACCAAGACAAUGAGGAGCCCUGGCCAAUUCAAACCCUGAAAAUGCACAGGCCCAAAGCAAGAAGAGAUGUGGGCCUGGGCUAACCCCUGACCCAAAAGAAGCCUGAGCAUAAUUAUCCAGAGAUUUUGGCCUGGGCCAGUCCAAAAAUGUGGCCUGGGCCAGACCAAGAAAAUGAGUGUGCCCAGGCCAAUCAAGACCCUGAAAAAGCCCGGGCCCAAGGAAGAAGAGAUAUGGGCCUGGGCUAACCCCUGACCCAAAAGAAGCCUGAGCAUAAUUAUCCAGAGAAUUUUGCCUAGGCCAGUCCAAAAAUGUGGCCUGGGCCAGACCAAGAAAAUGAGUGUGCCCAGGCCAAUCCUGACUCUGAAAAAGCCCGGGCCCAAAGCAAGAAGAGAUGUGGGCCUGGGCUAACCCCUGACCCAAAAGAAGCCUGAGCAUAAUUAUCCAGAGAAUUUUGCCUGGGCCAGUCCAAAAAUGUGGCCUGGGCCAGACCAAGAAAAUGAGUAUGCCCAGGCCAA